GCCGCGGUGGCGGAACUGGGAUACGCGGUCGACUUAAAAUCGACUCCCGAAAGGGGUGUGGGUUCGACUCCCACCCGCGGCA
rnacentral:tRNA from 1 species